rnacentral:rRNA from 1 species
GACGAACGCUGGCGGCGUGCCUAAUACAUGCAAGUUGAGCGCUGAAGGUUGGUACUUGUCCCGACUGGAUGAGCAGCGAACGGGUGAGUAACGCGUGGGGAAUCUGCCUUUGAGCGGGGGACAACAUUUGGAAACGAAUGCUAAUACCGCAUAAAAACUUUAAACACAAGUUUUAAGUUUGAAAGAUGCAAUUGCAUCACUCAAAGAUGAUCCCGCGUUGUAUUAGCUAGUUGGUGAGGUAAAGGCUCACCAAGGCGAUGAUACAUAGCCGACCUGAGAGGGUGAUCGGCCAAAUUGGGAAUGAGACAAGGCCCAAACUCCUACGGGAGGCAGCAGUAGGGAAGUUUCGGCAAUGGACGAAAGUCUGACCGAGCAACGCCGCGUGAGUGAAGAAGGGUUUCGGAUCGUAAAACUCUGUUGGUAGAGAAGAACGUUGGUGAGAGUGGAAAGCUCAUCAAGUGACGGUAACUACACAGAAAGGGACGGCUAACUACGUG